ensembl:lncRNA
GGUUCAGCCCACAGUUGGUCUGGUUUCCAACUGCCUUUCCCCGUAACAUUCCAAAUAGAACACUCUCCUUUGCCUGACAGGUUUGACUCAGCUACUCCAAACUCCUGCCACAAAAUCAUUCUCAAUUUCUCACUUCCACAAUUGUUUAUUUUUGGAAACCUUCUGAAGUCAUCUUGUCCAGAAGUGUCAAACACCUGGCCCCAAGGAUACAUGUGGCCUACAAAACUCCUGAGUGCAACUGGAACUGUAUUAAAAUAUAAUUGGGAAAUAGUUAACAAAAUAAAUAAAAAUACAAUAAGGCAUAGAUAAUAUUGCUUUUGAAAACUAAGUCAAUAUGCAGUCCAUGGGAAUUUUUAUAUACUGUUUAAUGCCCCUCCCAUUUCUAUUUGAGUUUCCCAUUGCUGAUCUAGUCCAUUCCCCUAUUUUGUCCACCUGAAAUCUAUAAUAGUUCUGUGUUUUUUCCAAGUUAACAAUUUCUAGACAGGACCAUUUCUAGAUCCAAAAGUUCUUUAGGUUUCUAAAGUAUUUGAGGUCUUUGAAUGGACAUAAAAUAGAGAAAAGUGUUACUUUCCCUCACUAGAGUAGUCUGGUUUUCUGUCUCUCUCUUGCCUUUUCUUUCGUCCUAUCUUUUAUUCAUUCAGAAGGGAAAUAGUCACAUUCUUUUCCUAAGGGUGUGGUUUUCAGGUACUUGAGUAGGUCACAUACUUUGACUUCUUUCCCUCAGCAGGGCCAAGGGGAAAGGGUAGUGUGACUUAGGGCUGUACUUUGGAUCCAUCCAAGUGAAGUCUCACCUUUCUCAGCCACAGAUCUCUGGGUUCCAGAGUCUGCAGAAGCUCCUGGGCCAGGGCCAGCCUGUGGGGCCCAGGGCAGCUGAGCUCUGAUUGGUCCCCAGUCCCUGACACACUAUUUAACUCAGGCAUAGCCCACACCCUGCUUAAGUGCAAAACCCAUCAUAUUGCAUAAUGGCACUUUGGGGCUUGUCCCAACCUUCAGUGAAACCCGGAAGCCAGCCAUAAAACAGCUCAUUCAAAGAUUAAUCUCCCUGCCCAUUUCUAGUUUGUUGGAAUGGGACAUGUCACUUGAUGUUGUGAAAUGAUUAGCAGAUGAGAUGAUUCUACUCUUGUCAUCUUCCAAUUUAUUUGCUUGGGACAAAAGUCCACAAGUACCAGAGUAGUCAAACCUGAAGUGAGCUAACUCAGGAGCACAGGUGUUUUCAGACAUAGCCUUUUGUUACAAACCCACAGAAGAGAAGCACAGAGGUGGCAAAUUUAG